UACGUAUGGAGCAAGCGUUAUCCGGAUUUAUUGGGCGUAAAGCGCGCGUAGGCGGGCUAUUAAGCGAGGUGUCAAAGCCCGGGGCUCAACCCCGGCCCGCACCUCGAACUGGUAGUCUUGAGUCUGGUAGGGGAAAGUGGAAUUCCCAGUGUAGCGGUGAAAUGCACAGAUAUUGGGAAGAACACCAGUGGCGAAGGCGGCUUUCUGGGCCACGACUGACGCUGAGGCGCGAAAGCUAGGGGAGCAAACA
rnacentral:rRNA from 1 species